GCAGAGUAGCUGCUGGCGCGUCAAGUGUUCAUGAACGGGGAGUUGUCAUGAAACGAAGUCGUUGACCGACGCGGUGCCAGCGGCGCAUCCCGCUGC
rnacentral:ncRNA from 1 species